AUUGAACGCUGGCGGAAUGCUUUACACAUGCAAGUCGAACGGCAGCACGGGGCAACCUGGUGGCGAGUGGCGAACGGGUGAGUAAUACAUCGGAACGUGCCCAAUCGUGGGGGAUAACGUAGCGAAAGUUACGCUAAUACCGCAUACGAUCUACGGAUGAAAGCGGGGGAUCGCAAGACCUCGCGCGAUUGGAGCGGCCGAUGUCAGAUUAGGUAGUUGGUGGGGUAAAGGCUCACCAAGCCGACGAUCUGUAGCUGGUUUGAGAGGACGACCAGCCACACUGGGACUGAGACACGGCCCAGACUCCUACGGGAGGCAGCAGUGGGGAAUUUUGGACAAUGGGGGCAACCCUGAUCCAGCCAUUCCGCGUGAGUGAAGAAGGCCU
rnacentral:rRNA from 1 species